UGGGGAAUAUUGCACAAUGGGGGAAACCCUGAUGCAGCGACGCCGCGUGAACGAAGAAGGUAUUCGUAUCGUAAAGUUCUGUCCUAUGGGAAGAUAAUGACAGUACCAUAGAAGAAAGCUCCGGCUAAAUACGUGCCAGCAGCCGCGGUAAUACGUAUGGAGCGAGCGUUGUCCGGAAUUAUUGGGCGUAAAGGGUACGCAGGCGGUUUAAUAAGUCGAAUGUUAAAGAUCGGGGCUCAACCCCGUAAAGCAUUGGAAAGUGAUAAACUUGAGUAGUGGAGAGGAAAGUGGAAUUCCUAGUGUAGUGGUGAAAUACGUAGAUAUUAGGAGGAAUACCAGUAGCGAAGGCGACUUUCUGGACACAAACUGACGCUGAGGUACGAAAGCGUGGGGAGCAAACAGG
rnacentral:rRNA from 1 species